CGCGCACGCGCGUCGAGGAUGCGGCGCAAGCGCCCUGCCGCCUCGGCCGCGUCCUACCUUCCGCUGCUGCUGUUUCCACCGCGUGAACAUUAAGUGUCGCCGUUGUUUGUUCUUAAUUUCCGAAAUGCUGAAGCCUGGGGGAAAGGCAGCCGAUUUCGGAGUGAGUGUGGAUGAAGAGCUGAGAAAGAAAAGAGGACCAAGGACUGAUCGCUGGAACAGCCCUACAUAAAGAGCCGGAGAGAAAAGGAGGACCCAAGAAAGGAGAAUGAGAAGGGAAAAUGAAGAGAGUGUCAUGGAAGCCAAGCGAAGAAAGUGCUUACCCAAUGGUUAAAUUUUUCUGCAUUCCUCAUUUUAAUUUUAUGAAAAUGUCCCCCAGAGACAAAAGAAUUCCUUUUGCUUUACUGUUAGAAACUGUCUUAAUUUGAAAUUAUAUGUGUCAGUAUCAACA